UCCUCGAUAGUAUAGUGGUGAGUAUCUCCGCCUGUCACGCGGAAGACCGGGGCUCAAUUCCCCGUCGGGGAG
rnacentral:tRNA from 1 species